UAAGGGCGCACGGUGGAUGCCUUGGCACUAGAAGCCGAUGAAGGACGUUACUAACGACGAUAUGCUUUGGGGAGCUGUAAGUAAGCUUUGAUCCAGAGAUUUCCGAAUGGGGAAACCCAGCAUGAGUUAUGUCAUGUUAUCGAUAUGUGAAUACAUAGCAUAUCAGAAGGCACACCCGGAGAACUGAAACAUCUUAGUACCCGGAGGAAGAGAAAGAAAA
rnacentral:rRNA from 1 species